UUGUUCUCUUUUUCAGAUAGAUUGUAAAGUCCUGUACGACGCAGUUAUCUACAAAGUUGGAGAAAAUUGUUUUGGCUUUAAAUUUAUUUGAAAAUUAUAGAAUUGCCUCGCAAAGAACUGAUGGUCAAGGCAACAUGAGAGAUGCUGUCAAACUCAAGUAGGAUUCAGGAACUUUUUGAGCAGUACCGGGCGACUGCAUAGAUUUGAAAUGUUUGGAAUCAUUACAUCAGAAAGUGUGGUGUCAGGUGGAGGUUUGAGGCAAAGGGCUCAGAGUCAAUGGAAGUGAUAAUAAUGGAGGCACUGGAUCAAUGAAGUAGGAUUUCGCCUAGCCCAGCAUAACGGCACCAGUUCCUUCCACCACUGCUCCACGCAGCUGCUGUGGGCUGCGCUCUAUCCACUCGCUCAGCCAUCCUCCACAGGGGCUUCUGCAGCUGCCACCACAAAACACCAAGAUGCGAGAUCCCCGCAACCAUGCCUGUCUCCUCCAGCAGCCACCCAUCUGCUUCCAUGCACCGAGGCUUCCACGGCCCACUUCCCAGGUCAAUCGUGGAACUUUUCGUGGUCGCUUUUCGUGGCCAUGGGAGGUGAGUUUCAGGAAUGUUUACAGCGGCUACGUUUCUGCUUCACCCUCCAUCACCACCACCACCACCAUCAUCAUCAUCGUGAUUGACAAUUAGAGUGCCAUCAAUACUUUUAGGUGUCUUUUUGAUGGAACAAGAAUUAGGUCUGUUCCUUAAAAGAACUCCAAAUUGUUGAUCUUCUCUGAACCCAUACAUUCCAGUUUGCCUGGACAAGUAUGCAGUACAUUUUUCCUUCUUUUUAACCCUUAGAACUUUGUUUGCUCAGGCAAUUAUUUCCAUCAAUUUGUCCUUCCCCAUACACCAUCCUAAAACAAAACCCGGCAUCAAUAGAACAGAAACAUUCAUGUCCAGCACAGUUGACUUUGUCUUAAUAAAACAUAUUUUGAUGUAGUAUUGCCCCAGUCACAACAAGAAUGCCUUGUUGUAUUUGUAUUAACCAAAGAUUUGUGGCCGAGCUCUGCAGUUUCCAAGCAAUACAACAAUGGCACAGAUGCAAGGUGCCGAUAAAACAAAAAGCCAUAAAAGUCAGGAAAGCUAACAAUGACACAAUUGACAAAGACGCAAGAGAUAGUUGUGCAGCAAAGGAAGUAAUACUGUGACAUUGGGCAUGUAAUUAUUUCCAAAACAAGAUUAAUACAGAUAUAAUAAAUAUGAUUUCUGGAUUUACAUCAAAGCUAUGUUUCAGUUAUAUCUAGCUUCCAGUUCUCCAAAGCAAGGCCAGAUAAUCCAUUCAACAAAAUGUAUGCAAAACUGAUUGAUUAUGAAAGUCACUAUGUCC